GUGGAACGCUAGCGGCAUGCUUUACACAUGCAAGUCGAACGGCAGCGCGGGGUAACCUGGCGGCGAGUGGCGAACGGGUGAGUAAUACAUCGGAACGUGCCCUGUGAUGGGGGAUAACUACGCGAAAGCGUAGCUAAUACCGCAUACGACCUAAGGGUGAAAGUGGGGGAUCGAAAGACCUCAUGUCAUAGGAGCGGCCGAUGGCGGAUUAGCUAGUUGGUGAGGUAAAGGCUUACCAAGGCAACGAUCCGUAGCUGGUCUGAGAGGACGACCAGCCACACUGGGACUGAGACACGGCCCAGACUCCUACGGGAGGCAGCAGUGGGGAAUCUUGGACAAUGGGGGCAACCCUGAUCCAGCAAUGCCGCGUGUGGGAUGAAGGCCUUCGGGUUGUAAACCACUUUUGGCGGGGGCGAAAUAUCGAGUGCUAAUACCAUUCGGUGAUGACGGUACCCGCAGAAUAAGCACCGGCUAACUACGUGCCAGCAGCCGCGGUAAUACGUAGGGUGCAAGCGUUAAUCGGAAUUACUGGGCGUAAAGCGUGCGCAGGCGGUUAGGUAAGACAGAUGUGAAAUUCCCGGGCUCAACCUGGGAACUGCAUUUGUGACUGCCUGACUAGAGUGCGGCAGAGGGGAGUGGAAUUCCGCGUGUAGCAUGAAAUGCGUAAUAUGCGGAGGAACACCGAUGGCGAAGGCAACUCCCUGGGCCUGCACUGACGCUCAUGCACGAAGCGUG
rnacentral:rRNA from 1 species